CCAACGGGAGAAGGGUUGUUAAGGAACUCGGCAAAUUGACCCCGUAACUUCGGGAGAAGGGGUGCUCCAGAGAUGGAGCCGCAGAGAAUCGGCCCAAGCAACUGUUUACCAAAAACACAGGUUUGUGCUAAAUCGAAAGAUGACGUAUACGAGCUGACGCCUGCCCGGUGCUGGAAGGUUAAGAGGAGAUGUGCAAGCAUUGAAUCGAAGCCCCAGUGAACGGCGGCCGUAACUAUAACGGUCCUAAGGUAGCGAAAUUCCUUGUCAGGUAAGUUCUGACCCGCAUGAAAGGCGUAAUGAUUUGGGCACUGUCUCAACAGCCCGCCCGGCGAAAUUGUAGUACCGGUGAAGAUGCCGGUUACCCGCGACAAGACGGAAAGACCCCAUGGAGCUUUACUGUAGCCUAAUAUUGGGUUUCGAUGUUGCAUGCACAGGAUAGAUGGGACACUGGGAAACAGGAGCUUUGGCUUCUGCGGAGUGGCCGUUGGGAUACCAUCCUUGCGAUAUUGGAAUUCUAACCUGCGGCUCUGAAUCGAGUCGGGGGACAUUGUUAGGUGGGCAGUUUGACUGGGGCGGUCGCCUCCUAAAGAGUAACGGAGGCGUUCAAAGGUUCGCUCAGCUUGAACGGAAAUCAAGCAAAAGAGUGCAAACGCAGAAGCGAGCCUAACUGCGAGACUGACGGGUCGAGCAGUAACGAAAGUUGGAGUUAGUGAUCCGGUGGUAUGUGAGUGGAAAUGCCAUCGCUCAACGGAUAAAAGUUACCCUGGGGAUAACAGGCUGAUCUCCCCCAAGAGUCCACAUCGACGGGGAGGUUUGGCACCUCGAUGUCGGCUCAUCGCAUCCUGGGGCUGUAUUCGGUCCCAAGGGUUUGGCUGUUCGCCAAUUAAAGCGGUACGCGAGCUGGGUUCAGAACGUCGUGAGACAGUUCGGUCCCUAUCUGUCGUGGGCGCAGGAUAUUUGAUGGGAGCUGUCCCUAGUACGAGAGGACCGGGACGGACGUACCUCUGGCGCACCAGUUGUUCCGCCAGGAGCAUAGCUGGGCAACUACGUACGGAUCGGAUAAACGCUGAAAGCAUCUAAGCGUGAAGCCGACCCAAAGAUAAGAUAUCCCA
rnacentral:rRNA from 1 species